GCCAAAGCCACUGCAGCACCACAUGUUUCUCUCUCUCUCUCUCUCUCUCUCUCUCUGUAGUUUAUACGCAUGCACACACGUGACUGACCUGACGACAUGCCCCCUCCUUCCCUCUCGUACCAAAACCCGCACAUGGGGAGAUUCUCUACCCACCACCACUCAGCAGCAGCAGCAGCAGCUGCAGCAGAGGCAUCCAGGAAUAAUAAAAAGCUGGGCACCCACAAGAGGGAGAGCGAGGGAGAGGAGGAUGGGAGAUUUGUUUGUAUAAAUAGCUGUUGGGGGCAGAGAGCAGUGGAUCAUCGAAAGGGGAGCAAGCUAAGAUAGCGAGAUGCGUUUCCUUGAUCGUUCUCGGUUUUGCUGUUUCCUCGAAUUCGCUUGGUGCAGGUCGGGAAUGGUUUUCCAUCCGUGGGAGAGGUCUCCAGCGAAGAAGACCACACCUUCUUCUCUGUUCUCGCUGGAGAGAAACCCUUUUCCCGCUUGCAUCGAGUGAACUGGAGGCGGCAGCAAAAGAAAAUAGGCGUUCCAAAGGUUUCUGUUUACUGGCGCCGAGGUGAAGGCCCCCCCCCCCCUCUCUCUCUCUCUCUCUCUCUUUUGUCUGUCUUGUUUGCCGAUUUUUUUUCUCCAACUUUUCUUUUGUCUGUCCGUUUGCUUGCCUGCGCGAUCUGCGUGUGUGGGACGAUGAAGUUCAAUCUUGGUUUUCAUUUGCCAUAGGAAGCCAGAGACGGGGUUCUGGUUUCCAAUUUUCUACUGUUGCCACCAAUAACAUUUGAUAUAAUUCGAAACUGUUAACCAUUGUGCUUGAUCGAACAGAUGAAGAGAACGUGGGGGAAACACUCGUUUGAAGAAAUCCCUUGACUGACGACCGUGGGAUUAUCACGAAUUUCAGUAAAUUAAAAUAAAAAGGCAUCGAUUGCGUUUACCCUUUUUAGUUGACUUAGUUUAGAAGUCUUUCUGAUUGGUUUUGCAAGUGAAGCACUAAAAGGUGCUGCCAUCGCUUAUCGAUUCAGUGUUCUUCGUUCCAUUUUCUUUGUUUAUGGUGGCUUCCUGGAGGCAGAUGGUUACAGAGGAAAGUAACUGUGAGGACCGAUCAGAAUGCUUCUCUCUGCAGAGAGGAGUGCUGUCAACUUCUCCACUAAGACCCUCCAGAGUGCUGUCGACCUUUACCAAUCAUUAUUCUUUGUUUCCGUUCUUUUUCGAUGCUGGCUUCCUCGGCGUGCAUGGUUUAGCAGGAGAGAAUAACUAUGAGGAGACAUCCGAUAAAAUUGGGACUAUGAAGAUGCAGCAGAACGCAUAUCAAUUGCACAGCAUCCCCAUGCCGUUUCCAUCAUUUCUCCAUCGGAAAGGAAUUUUGCUCUUUGCUUGCUGAAUAUUGGGGAGCAUUCUAUGCUUGCAAUUGUUGUGGACACUUCUAUGAACCUCUCUCUCUCUCUCUCUCUCUCUCUCUCUCUCUUUCCUCUUUCCCCCCUUUUAAGUGCUUCGAUGCCAUCGACCACUGUCGGAAUAUCAGAUUGCAUCUCCGACGGCAUCGUCGUCCAUCGAAGCUCACGUGCAACAGCCUUGUGGAUCGCCGGAGACCGCUUCAGAGGUCUUCAUUUCCACAACGGGAUGGCAGCAGCAUCGAUCAUGGACGGGGUCGAGCUCCUCUUCAUCAGCCAACGAUGCAACCGUCGGCGGUGUUCAACAAUCAUCGAUGUCACAGUGGCGUCGUAAUUUGGGAGUUUUGUUGUACUCAGAUACAUUUCAAGCUCCUAAAACUUGUAUUGGUGAUUUAAUUCAUCCAUUGAGACGGUUGUGCCGUUGACCCGAAUCUCUAAUCUAAAUUCGGAUUAUUUGUGUAUGUUCAUGUCAAGGUAUAUCUUAUUUGAAGUUAUUAUGA